rnacentral:rRNA from 1 species
GACGAACGCUGGCGGCGUGCCUAAUACAUGCAAGUCGAACGCACAGUUUAUACCGUGGCUUGCUACACCAUACACUGUGAGUUGCGAACGGGUGAGUAACGCGUACGUAACCUGCCUGGUAGCGGGGGAUAACUAUUGGAAACGAUAGCUAAUACCGCAUAAUAUUAAUUAUUGCAUGAUAAUUGAUUGAAAGAUGCAAUUGCAUCACUACCACAUGGACCUGCGUUGUAUUAGUUAGUAGGUGAGGUAUCGGCUCACCUAGGCGACGAUACAUAGCCGCACUGCGAGGGUGGGCGGCCACACUGAGAGUGAGACACGGCCCAGUCGGCUGCAGGAGGCAGCAGUAGGGAAUCUUCGGCAAUCGACGAAAGACAGACCGAGAAAGGCGGCGUGCGUGACGAAGAUUUUCGGAUCGGAAAGCACGGUUGUCGGGGAAGAACGCUUGUGAGACUGGAAAGUUCACAAUGUGACGGUACCUGAACAGAAAGCGACGGCUAACUACGUG